rnacentral:rRNA from 1 species
UCGUCAUCGUAGGGUUAGUCGGGUCCUAAGCUGAGUCCGAAAGGGGUAAGCGAUGGCAAAUCGGUUAAUAUUCCGAUACCAACUAAUAGUUUAGUACGAAGGGGGGACGCAUAGGGUUAAACGAGGUCACUGAUGGAAUAGUGGCUCGAAGGGUGUAGAUAAGCUGGAUAGGAAAAUCCGCCGGCUGUUUUCGAGACCUGACAGGCUGAUGACGCUCUUCGGAGUAGAUUCAGAAUCGUUGAUACCGUCGUGCCAAGAAAAGCCUCUAAGUGUAUUAUUAGUUGCCCGUACCGUAAACCGACACAGGUGGGUGAGAUGAGUAUUCUAAGGCGCGUGGAAGAACCCUGGUUAAGGAACUCUGCAAACUAGCACCGUAACUUCGGAAUAAGGUGUGCCUACUUCUGUAUAUGGACUUGCUCCAGAAAGCGGAAGAGGUUGCAACAAAGAGUCCCUCCCGACUGUUUAC